rnacentral:rRNA from 1 species
GAUGAACGCUGGCGGCGUGCCUAAUACAUGCAAGUCGAGCGAACAGACGAGGAGCUUGCUCCUCUGACGUUAGCGGCGGACGGGUGAGUAACACGUGGAUAACCUACCUAUAAGACUGGGAUAACUUCGGGAAACCGGAGCUAAUACCGGAUAAUAUAUUGAACCGCAUGGUUCAAUAGUGAAAGACGGUUUUGCUGUCACUUAUAGAUGGAUCCGCGCCGCAUUAGCUAGUUGGUAAGGUAACGGCUUACCAAGGCAACGAUGCGUAGCCGACCUGAGAGGGUGAUCGGCCACCCUGGAACUGAGACACGGUCCAGACUCCUACGGGAGGCAGCAGUAGGGAAUCUUCCGCAAUGGGCGAAAGCCUGACGGAGCAACGCCGCGUGAGUGAUGAAGGUCUUCGGAUCGUAAAACUCUGUUAUUAGGGAAGAACAAAUGUGUAAGUAACGAUGCACGUCUUGACGGUACCUAAGCAGAAAGCCACGGCUAACUACGU